rnacentral:rRNA from 1 species
AUUGAACGCUGGCGGCAGGCCUAACACAUGCAAGUCGAACGAGUGGCGGACGGGUGAGUAAUGUAUGGGGACUGCCCGACAGAGGGGGAUAACUACUGGAAACGGUGGCUAAUACUGCAUACUAUCGGAUAACCCAUAUGGGAUUAGCUAGUAGGUGGGGUAAAGGCUCACCUAGGCGACGAUCUCUAGCUGGUCUGAGAGGGUGAUCAGCCACACUGGGACUGAGACACGGCCCAGACUCCUACGGAGGCAGCAGUGGGGAAUAUUGCGCAAUGGGCGCAAGCCUGAUGCAGCCAUGCCGCGUGUAUGAAGAAGGCCUUAGGGUUGUAAAGUACUUUCGGCGGAGAGGCGUUACCCACAGAAGAAGCACCGGCUAACUCCGUGCCAGCAGCCGCGGUAAUUC